rnacentral:rRNA from 1 species
UACGGAGGGGGCUAGCGUUGUUCGGAAUUACUGGGCGUAAAGCGCACGUAGGCGGCUUUGCAAGUCAGAGGUGAAAGCCCGGGGCUCAACCCCGGAAUUGCCUUUGAGACUGCAUCGCUAGAAUUGUGGAGAGGUAAGUGGAAUUCCGAGUGUAGAGGUGAAAUUCGUAGAUAUUCGGAAGAACACCAGAGGCGAAGGCGACUUACUGGACACAUAUUGACGCUGAGGUGCGAAAGCGUGGGGAGCAAACAGG